AGAGUUUGAUCCUGGCUCAGAACGAACGCUGGCGGCGUGCCUAACACAUGCAAGUCGAGCGAGAAAGGGGAGCAAUCCCCGAGUAAAGCGGCAAACGGGUGAGUAACACGUGGGCAAUCUGCCCUCGAGUGGGGAAUAACAUCUCGAAAGAGGUGCUAAUACCGCGUAACAUCCAGAGACCUAAGGGUUUUUGGAUCAAAGGCGGGGAUCUUCGGACCCGCCGCUUGAGGAGGAGCCCGCGCCUGAUUAGCUAGUUGGUGGGGUAAUGGCCUACCAAGGCGACGAUCAGUAGCCGGCCUGAGAGGGUGACCGGCCACACUGGAACUGAGAAACGGUCCAGACUCCUGCGGGAGGCAGCAGUGAGGAAUUUUGGACAAUGGGCGAAAGCCUGAUCCAGCAACGCCGCGUGGACGAUGAAGGUCUUCGGAUUGUAAAGUCCUGUCGAGUGGGACGAAAGGCGCGGAGGUGAAUAGCCUUCGCGUCUGACUGUACCACCAGAGGAAGCCCCGGCUAACUCCGUGCCAGCAGCCGCGGUAAUACGGAGGGGGCCAGCGUUGUUCGGAAUUAUUGGGCGUAAAGGGCGCGUAGGCGGCGAGGUCAGUCAGACGUGAAAUCCCUCGGCUCAACCGAGGAAUUGCAUCUGAUACUGCCCUGCUCGAGGCCGGGAGAGGAGAGUGGAAUUCCCAGUGUAGCGGUGAAAUGCGUAGAUAUUGGGAGGAACACCGGUGGCGAAGGCGGCUCUCUGGACCGGUUCUGACGCUGAGGCGCGAAAGCUAGGGGAGCAAACAGGAUUAGAUACCCUAGUAGUCC
rnacentral:rRNA from 1 species